CAUACGAUCACUGAAGUUAAGCACCAUCAAGCCUAGUCAGUACCUAGAUGGGUGACCGCUUGGGAAUACCAAGUGCUGUAAG